rnacentral:rRNA from 1 species
GACAGAGGGGGCAAGCGUUGCUCGGAAUCACUGGGCGUAAAGGGCGCGUGGGCGGGAUGGCAAGUCGGUCGUGAAAUCCUUCGGCUCAACCGAAGAACGUCGGCCGAUACUGCCGUUCUUGAGGGAUGCAGAGGAGAUUGGAAUUCCCGGUGUAGCGGUGAAAUGUGUAGAGAUCGGGAGGAACACCGGUGGCGAAGGCGGGUCUCUGGGCAUCUCCUGACGCUGAGGCGCGAAAGCGUGGGGAGCAAACGGG